GUGAGCAGGAGGCCAGGGCAUGGCAGGGGGAGCUGCAGGGCCGUCGGAGGGGCCCCAGUGUCUGAGCCCUGUCCUCUCGCAGG
ensembl:miRNA